CUCAAAGGAAUUGACGGGGCCCGCACAAGCGGAGGAGCAUGUGGUUAAUUCGAUGAUACGCGAGGAACCUUACCUGGGCUCGAACGUAAGAUGACUGUAGGUGAAAGCUUACAUCUCUUCGGAGCAUUUUACGAGGUGCUGCAUGGUUGUCGUCAGCUCGUGCCGUGAGGUGUCGGGUUAAGUCCCAUAACGAGCGCAACCCCUACCUUUAGUUGCCAUCAGGUAAUGCUGGGGACUCUAAAGGAACUGCCUACGCAAGUAGUGAGGAAGGCGGGGAUGACGUCAAAUCAGCACGGCCCUUACGUCCAGGGCUACACACGUGCUACAAUGGCCGAUACAGAGGGCAGCUACCUGGUGACAGGAUGCAAAUCUCCAAAGUCGGUCUCAGUUCGGAUCGGAGUCUGCAACCCGACUCCGUGAAGUUGGAUUCGCUAGUAAUCGCGCAUCAGCCAUGGCGCGGUGAAUACGUUCCCGGGCCUU
rnacentral:rRNA from 1 species